rnacentral:rRNA from 1 species
UACGGGGGGGGCAAGCGUUGUUCGGAAUUACUGGGCGUAAAGGGCUCGUAGGUGGCCAACUAAGUCAGACGUGAAAUCCCUCGGCUUAACCGGGGAACUGCGUCUGAUACUGGAUGGCUUGAGUUCGGGAGAGGGAUGCGGAAUUCCAGGUGUAGCGGUGAAAUGCGUAGAUAUCUGGAGGAACACCGGUGGCGAAGGCGGCAUCCUGGGCCGACCCUGACGCUGAGGCGCGAAGGCGUGGGGAGCGAACGGG